UCGGGAAAUCCACUCGCCUAACGAGUGGGCGUCGGCGGACACUACAGGGCUUGGGACCGGAAGACUUGAGGGGUACGUCUGGGGUAGGAGUGAAAUCCUGUAAUCCUGGACGGACCGCCGAUAGCGAAAGCACCUCAAGACGACGGAUCCGACAGUGAGGGACGAAAGCUAGGGUCUCGAACCGGAUUAGAUACCCGGGU
rnacentral:rRNA from 1 species